GAUGAACGCUGGCGGCGUGCCUAAUACAUGCAAGUCGAGCGGACGGACGAGAAGCUUGCUUCUCUGAUGUUAGCGGCGGACGGGUGAGUAACACGUGGAUAACCUACCUAUAAGACUGGGAUAACUUCGGGAAACCGGAGCUAAUACCGGAGAAUAUUUUGAACCGCAUGGUUCAAAAGUGAAAGACGGUCUUGCUGUCUCUUAUAGAUGGAUCCGCGCUGCAUUAGCUAGUUGGUAAGGUAACGGCUUACCAAGGCAACGAUGCAUAGCCGACCUGAGAGAGUGAUCGGCCACACUGGAACUGAGACACGGUCCAGACUCCUACGGGAGGCAGCAGUAGGGAAUCUUCCGCAAUGGGCGAAAGCCUGACGGAGCAACGCCGCGUGAGUGAUGAAGGUCUUCGGAUCGUAAAACUCUGUUAUUAGGGAAGAACAUAUGUGUAAGUAACUGUGCACAUCUUGACGGUACCUAAUCAGAAAGCCACGGCUAACUACGUG
rnacentral:rRNA from 1 species